GAUGAACGCUGGCGGCGUGCCUAAUACAUGCAAGUCGAGCGAACAGACGAGGAGCUUGCUCCUCUGACGUUAGCGGCGGACGGGUGAGUAACACGUGGAUAACCUACCUAUAAGACGGGGAUAACUUCGGGAAACCGGAGCUAAUACCGGAUAAUAUAUUGAACCGCAGGGUUCAAUAGUGAAAGACGGUUUUGCUGUAACUUAUAGAUGGAUCCGCGCCGCAUUAGCUAGUUGGUAAGGUAACGGCUUACCAAGGCAACGAUGCGUAGCCGACCUGAGAGGGUGAUCGGCCACACUGGAACUGAGACACGGUCCAGACUCCUACGGGAGGCAGCAGUAGGGAAUCUUCCGCAAUGGGCGAAAGCCUGACGGAGCAACGCCGCGUGAGUGAUGAAGGUCUUCGGAUCGUAAAACUCUGUUAUUAGGGAAGAACAAAUGUGUAAGUAACUAUGCACGUCUUGACGGUACCUAAUCAGAAAGCCACGGCUAACUACGUG
rnacentral:rRNA from 1 species